CACACUAGAUUCAAAGUUUUAAAGAAUAUCUCGAAACAUAAAAUUAUAGAUGUUAUUUAUUCGAACCCUUGAGCUAAUUUAAAUACGUUUUUUUAGGACUAACAAAUCUAAAAAGACAUACAUUCUCUCUUUAGUGACCAUUACCCAUCUUUCACUCUCUGCCUCUUGUGCCCACUACAUCUCUCUUGCCUGUCAAAAGAACUCAUGGUGUCCAAGCUCUUCAAUUUCUCAUUCCAACUGAACAAAAUCUUUCACCCAUGUCUUUAUCUCUUUUGGAGAUUAGUUCAUCAGUAAGGCCAAAAAUCUCAUCUUAAAUUACUAUGAUUUCCCUUUCAAUUGAAGGCUGAAAAUAACCACUAAAAAUUCUCAAAGAGAAAGUGCCUUUCUCUCUCUAAAUUAUCUCUUUCUUCUAAGUUCUAACAAUUGAGCUAGCACUGAGAGAAAGAAGGCAUGGCUAAGUAAUUUCAAAACCCUAAAACCCACUAAAAUUAUUUAAACUUCCUCUGUAUUGAUAGCUGAAAAUAAACAUGGAACGGGGUUUUGGUCACACUACUGAGAUUGGACCAAGCUUGCAAGAUGAGAGAGAGAUAGAGGACUUCAAAACCAGGUUGGAAUACGACGGUUUGGGGAAAUAGACAGAGAGGUAAUGGGGCACGAGAUAGGGAAAGUGGGGGAGGGCUUUAAGGAGGUCGAGAGAGGGAGACGUAAUGGGCAAGAGAGAGAGAGUUUUGACGGCUACUGGUCUAUGGUGGUUUGGGAAAAGAGAGAGGUAAUGGGGGUAGAGAGAGAAAGAGGUUGGAAAAAUGGGGAAGUAAAGAGAGAGAGGUAGAGGAG
rnacentral:lncRNA from 1 species